AACGAACGCUGGCGGCAUGCCUAACACAUGCAAGUCGAACGAACCCUUCGGGUCUAGUGUUGCACGGGUUCGUAACGCGUGGGAACAUGAACUUAGGGUCGGAAUAACUCCACGAAAGGGGUACUAAUACCGGAUAAUAGCUAAGGACCAAAGAUUUAUUGCGUUUGGCUGGACCCGCGUUGGAUUAGAUAGUUGGUAGGGUAAAAGACUAAUAAGGGGACGAUUAAUAACUGGGCUGAGAGGAAGAUCAGCCACACUGGGACUGAGACACGGCCUAGACUCCUACGGGAGGCAGCAGUGGGGAAUAUUGGACCAUGGGCGAAAGGCUGAUCGAGCAAGGACGCGUGAGUGAUGAAGGCCUUAGGGUUGUAAAGUUCUUUUAACCGGGAUGAUAAUGACAGUACCGGGAGAAUAAGCCCCGGCUAACUCCGUG
rnacentral:rRNA from 1 species